rnacentral:rRNA from 1 species
UACGUAGGGGGCGAGCGUUGUCCGGAUUCAUUGGGCGUAAAGAGCUCGUAGGCGGCUUGGCAAGCCGGGUGUGAAACCUCCAGGCUCAACCUGGAGACGCCACCCGGGACUGCUAUGGCUAGAGUCCGGUAGGGGAUCACGGAAUUCCUGGUGUAGCGGUGAAAUGCGCAGAUAUCGGGAAGAACACCCGUGGCGAAGGCGGUUCUCUGGGACGGUACUGACGCUGAGACGCGAAAGCGUGGGGAGCGAACAGG